AUCUAACCAGUAGCUCUAGUGAACCAGAAUCAAGUGACCCUUAUCUCUUCCAUGUAAACAUAGCAAUAUCCCACCAAAUCCGCCUGCUGCUCACCUCUCACAUCCGCUUACAGCCCUCUUCCCCUUUCUCACACUCCAUCUCUGAAGCUUGCAGGCUCCAUGUGCCAUUUCAGUAGAUUUCAGGCUCUUCAAGAGGAUUCAGAGACUCGAGACGACAACAAGCCUCAGUUCAUUGUCACGGAGAAGGUAGUCACACUCGUCUUCUCUUCGUCUUUAAUUUUUGUAAAAGUAGAAAUGUAAUCGUUCAAGCAUUUUCUCUUUGUUUGUUUGGUUUAGCUGGCUGAAAAGUGAUCGUUCGAUGGUUAUGGUUGUUCUGUUUGAUUCUGUGGACUUGAACCCAAUUACUGCCUUGUUUGUUCUAAAUUUGUUGCAUAAAAAAUGGUAUCGGACUGGGGUAAAACCCUGAAUUACCCGUGGUGCACUUGCGGGAAACUCCUUGCCGAGGGCCUGUGCACCCCCGGGAUUAGUCGGGGCUCAAAGAGACCCGAACACCCGGUGCUUAAUAAAAAAAAAUUAAAAAAUGGUCAAGGAAGAUUUACUACACUUAGGAAUUGUUAAAUCAACUAUGUCAAAAUGCUGUAUACUUUAUUCAUGAGAUUCUGUUUUCAUUAGAGAAUUAAUAUGUGACAAGAAAAAUGGUAGAUUAUGAAUUUUAAAAAGCGAAUAUGCCCGAUGUAACUACUCGUCCUUUCUCUGUGUCUUUAUAUGUUUAAAGAGGUGUUUAGAGAAUCCUUAUCAUGCGAAGAUGGUAGCUUUUGGUUUUGGUUGUGGUUAUGUUGUGUUAAUCUCUUUUGCUGGUGGUAGUGUAAGAAGGAGUAUCUUUUGUUGGUCGUCGAAUCGUGUAAGAAAUGUAACUGAUGGAAGUGAUUUGUUGAAUUUAAAUUCUGUUUUGGUGUUAAUGAAUCCGCCUUUUUUCACUUUAAUAUAGAGUAAGUUAAUAUAAGAGUGAGUAGUUGGAAAUAUUUGUCAAGGAUAGUUGUCCUGUUUUGGUGAUGAAAUCUAAUCUAAACUUGCCUCCCUUGAACUAUUUAUGAAGCAAGCAAAAAUGCUAAAGCUUUGUGAUACGAAGAAUAGGAACUUGAUAUGCUUCACUUAGUAUUUGUAAGUGUAAAAUUAAUUUUUUUGUACAACAUGUUUAAAUAAAACUUGUGUGGCUCCGUACAUGUUUCAGCCAUUCUUGUUUUCCAUUGGAUGAAUGUUGGUAACGGGCUUGUAUGUUUGCUGUCGAGUAUGAAUCCCACUGCUAUGUGUGAGAAUAGUGAAGCAUCAUAUUUGAAUACUAUGCACUGACUAUAUAGGCUUCUUUAUCUUAAAAUUAUGGUGAAGUUUAAAUAUGAUAGGAUCAAAAGGAUUGAUUUAGUAGAACAUAUUGUUGACCUUUAAGGAGUAUUGAUUAGCUAUGUUGGUAGAAUUUUCUUUACUUGUUGAAAAGGAAAGGUUACAGAUCUGAAGAUUUAGCACGUCGAAUAUGUGAUUACUCGAAUAUGUUUGUCACUCGCUAAAAUUCUGUGAUCGAGACUCGUUAGGAUGUGCACUGUCCAGUUUUUGCUUCAGGAUCAUGUGAAAGUCAAAGCAUGUGAACUACGACGUUUAGGAAGGAAACCAUGAUUUAGCAUAUUGUUUUACCAUGUUUGUAGCUGAGGUCAUAUGUUUAGUUAAUAAGAUAAUAGAUUACUGCAAGUCCAUAACGAGAAGAAUAUGAUGUCCUUCAAGAUUUUAGUCCAAAAUCUCUUUUUCUUUACCAUGUCCAUGAGACUUUCUUAACGUAAGGUGACUUUUGUUUAUGGAUUUUCUGGGAGUUUUCCAUAGUUAACAAAUAGGCUCUAUAUGUUAGAAAGCUACAUUUGUUCCGAAAAAAAAAAGUUGCUGUUUUGAUAUAAAAAAGCUGUUUUUUUUUAAUUAAAAAUGUUACUGUUUUCUGAUUAAAAAGUUACUGUUUUGAUUAGAGAAAGCUACUGGUUUUUUUUAAAAAAAAAGAAGUUACUGUUCCGAUUAAGAAAAAAGGUUAUUGAUUUUUGUUUUGGGGAUUACAUCUGCUGAACGUGUAGUUCGAAUAACUCCGUCGCUCGUCUAAAUCUUUGUUUGAAGUACUUAUGUGGAUCUACUUUUGCCGCAUUUAGUUAAAAACCAGCAUAUAAAAUAGUAUGCAAUAUUGCUAUAACUUAAGAUAAGAGUUGUACUCGUUUCCUAUGUAUGAUGCACAUGAUAUAAGGUUUCUUGUCUUGACCAUAAGUCGCCAAGGAUUCUCUUUAGGUUUGUCUGAAGUUUUGCUGAACUUUUAGUACCUUUUUUACCCUGGUUAAAGUUUGAGGUUACUAGUUUGGGCAUUAAGAUAUUAAGAUAUUUAAAUAUCCCAAGACCUAUUUGUUUUAACUAGGUCAGUAGUCUUCCAUUCCUUGUUUUAAUUCCAUGAGUAAAUGUGUGAACAUAUAAAUGUUUGUGUCGUUCGACUAAAUAUCUAUUUUAUGUACUCAUCAUAAUCUGUAUGUGUACCAUUCCGUUCUGAAAAUCAGCAUGUAAAAGGUUAGUGUAAAUAAUUAACAUUUAGGGAGAAAGCCACUGACUCACAUGGAUUUGAACUGGUUAAAGUUUGUGAAUUAAAUAGAAUUGCUUCGUCAUCUGUCUAAUUCUCUAUUCUAGAUGCGUAUUAGAAUUCAUGGUUUUGUCUUAUGCCUCAGUCUCUUUCCUGAUAAAAAAUUGGUACGCAUAAAUGAGCUCAAUAGAGAAGAAUAGACUAAGUUGCUAGGGUACUAGCUCAUACGCAGGUUUAUGGCUUUUUGCUUCUGUUUCCUAUAUGCUAAAAUUGACUCAUCAGAUCGCGGCCUUUUGUUAAAAAAAAAAACAAUAAAUAAGGAUGCUAGUUUACAACAGGAUAAUCACGGUUUUGUCUUGAAACUGGAAUGCAAAGUUUACCAAAUUACUAGGACAUAAAUGUGGAUCCAUACGCUGUAGUUGCUCUUCUUUUCAUCUUGUGGUCUGUGCUGUUUUUUUUAAUGACCAGGAAACUGUUUUUCUUUCCUUCUUAUAGAAUAUAUGAGUAAUCACACUCGCUCUCAUGUCAUUUUAAUUCGUAGAAUAAAACGUAGUCGCUGAAUGUUCUUGCCCUUCAUAUAUAUUUUAGUUUGACUGCGUGUAUCAUUGCUCUUUUGGUUGAAUUAGCAAGUCUUUGAUCUCUCCUUUGAUAUUGUUUCCUGCUUAAAUCAUAACUCUAGAAUCUUAUACCACUUGGAUAGAACUAAAUAGUCAAGACAAUGUGCUGAGAUGAUCAUAAUGCUCUCUCAUUUGAGUUGAGAACACAUAAAGGCUGUUAUGGACAAUGUUUUUGUUUGUUGUCUUUCAUUGGGAAAGUAUGGAUGUAAAAAUCUUUCUUAAAUGAGGCAUGAGCUUUGUAAAAGGAGCCGUUGAAAUAUUUCUGUAGGGUGUAUUAUUUUUCUGGUUUUGCUCCUAAGAAAAUGUUGGUAUAGCUUGUAUGAAGGGGAUGCAAAAUCUCCAGAGCUUGAUUUGAUGGUUUGUGCAUAUACAAAAAAGAAGAAGUGUACUUUCAUUUGGUUUAGUCUAGAGUCACCGGAUUCAUACAUGUACGGUCUGUUAAAGUGUUUGACUCUCUUCUUCAUCCAUUCAUGAACUUAAAACAUGUAUGAAUCCAGUGACUUGUCUCUAAGAUGUUGAUAGCGUAUACUUAUAAAGUAUGUGGAGGUUUCUUUUUCAUCACUAUUUCCGGUUUGUUACUGCUCCCGAUCUACUCUUAAAUGCUAAAAACAAAUCAAGAUUCUGGUGAACGACAACUUCGCGCAAAUUUUGAGUUCAGACAGCUAUCAUCUUUUUCUUAGUAUCCAUAUGGUUUCUCCCUGAUGCAAACUGUGGGUAUUUUUAGUUAUUGAGUAUGCUCUGUUUAUUUCUUAACUUGUAAUUCUUCUCAUAAAUUAACUGAACAUCGUGUUAAGAUUUCUGGAAAUCUGUUAGCCUUAGUGUAUAAUUGUGCCUGUCUUGCUAUUUAAGUUGAGCUUUUAUAUAUUUGUCAUAAGCUGCUAAUCCUUUUCCUUUUUUUUUUUUUACAUGAAAUACUCGGAGCACCUUGGGAGUUUAUCAGCAAAACCCCAAAACUCCACGAGCUGUCCAAUUGGACUGAGCUACAAGCUGCGUCUGCCCCAUUUUAUUCCUCAUCGAGUCACUAUUUCUUAUUUCUUUCAAUGGAGUCUCCUAGUUCGGUGUUGGGAUUCUUGAAAGAGAUGUCCAGCCACUUCUCUCUUCUUAUUGGCCUCGCAUUUACUUAUUACCGUAUUCGUUGUAUUACUUGAACUAACACUUGCCCUUUUGUUUUUGUGGUGUUGAUAUGCUCUUGUUUGUGACCCAAUUUUGUAUAGAACUUUCAGGCGGGAAUAGCAAAACUUAGUCGUUACUUCA